AAUCAACGCUGGCGGCGUGCCUCAGACAUGCAAGUCGAACGAUUAAAGCUCUCUUCGGAGAGUGCAUAGAGUGGCGCACGGGUGAGUAACACGUAAGUAAUCUACCCUCGAGUGGGGAAUAACGUCCGGAAACGGGCGCUAAUACCGCAUAAUGCAGCGGCAUCAUAAGAUGACAGUUGUUAAAGAUUUAUCGCUUGAGGAGGAGCUUGCGGCAGAUUAGCUAGUUGGUAAGGUAACGGCUUACCAAGGCUACGAUCUGUAACCGGUCUUAGAGGACGGUCGGUCACACUGACACUAAAUAACGGAUCAGACUCCUACGGGAGGCAGCAGUCGGGAAUUUUGGGCAAUGGGCGAAAGCCUGACCCAGCAACGCCGCGUGAAGGAUGAAGUAUUUCGGUAUGUAAACUUCGAAAGAAUAGGAAGAAUUAAUGACGGUACUAUUUAUAAGGUCCGGCUAACUACGUGCCAGCCGCCGCAGUAAAAC
rnacentral:rRNA from 1 species